GUCCACGCCUAACGAUGUCAACUAGGUGUUGGAAGGGUUAACCUUUAGUGCCGUAGCUAACGCGUGAAGUUGACCGCCUGGGAGUACGGCCGCAAGGCUAAACUCAAGGAAUUGACGGGACCCGCACAAGCGGUGGAUGAUGUGGAUUAAUUCGAUGCAACGCGAAACCUUACCUACCCUUGACAUGUCAGGAAUCCCGGAGAGAUUUUGGGAGUGCUCGAAAGAGAGCCUGAACACAGGUGCUGCAUGGCUGUCGU
rnacentral:rRNA from 1 species